AAAAUAACAACUCGCCUGUCACAACUGCUUGUAUGUAGAAAUAAGCUCAGUACUGAGAAUAUAUUUCUGAUUAUUUGGUGUGCUUAACCCAUACAACAUUUAUUACUCACCAUUCUAUUUACAGUUUUGUGUGUUGCUGCUGCUAAAUUACUACCAUAUGGCAGCAACAAAUCCUCAUGCAAGAUCAAUAUCCAGUUCUUGAAAGUACAAACAAGCAAGCAGUUAGUUUACAUGUAUAUAGUCCACACUUGAGACACAAAUAAUCUCUUUAAUGAGAUUAAAAUAAGCCAACAGAAAACCUGCUUUUAUGUAGUCUAACGUCAGUACAGGACAUAGAAAACAGAACAUCAACAAUCCACAGAGGAACUACUAAGUCAAGGAAACUCAAAUCUUUUCACUUUACCAUUGCAAAUAUGGCCUCUGAAACAGUUUGCAAAGCUAUCAGUGAUUUUCCCAGUCUUUCAGUUAUUUAAUGGACAAGCUGAUGGAGGCAUUUCCAUGGGCUGUGGUCUUCCUUGGAAGAAGAGUUGGAGACACUUAUAAGCAGCAAAGCACUCACUAGAAUGGUAUAAUCUCCAGGAAUUUCCUAACUCUAAGGAAAUAUAUCUGAUGAUAAACCCAAUAAAUCUGUGAUUGCUGUAGCCUACCCUUUGAGUGGCUUUGUUUACAGCUUAAAUCCUCACAGGCUUUCUACUUUGAAUCCCAGUGUUUCCAUUGUUUUGACUGGGAAUUAAGUUCCUCUUUAUGACACAACGUUGCAGCUCCUGGAAUGGUGUCCAGGUAGCAGUCCUUCCCAAAGGGCCUGGGGCACCACAGCUCUUGUGCACUAUAAAAUCAUUCUGCUAUCAUGGCAUUUCACUGGGUGAAAUUCAUGUGUUUCCUGACUUUCUGAGUCAAGAGAAACUUCUUAUUUAGUCAAAAUCUUCUCAAAUAAUGAAAUUGACAACUUCUCCAGGCAUGAGUUUUACCUUACAAGAACUAAGAAACCAGCAUAAUCUGAAAAGCAUCCCAAGAUGCCAGUCUGAGAAGCAGGACCUGAAAGAAACUUUCAAGGGCUGAGCCACAUUCGAGCUUUGACUAAGUGAGCUUAAAGGUGCAAUUCAAAGGAGAUUGCCUCAUUUUUCUGUAUGCUUCACUGCUUUACUUUUCUCUUCUUAUUUUAAAAAGAAAAGAAAAUCAUUAAGUAUCUUAAUGUGAGGGAGAAUAGAAAGGUUUUACUUUUGGCCUCUGAAAAAGAAAUGUGAAAACCAAAUCCAGCUUUCAGUCCAGUGCAAGAGUAAACUAUAUGUUUGGCUCACAAUCCCAAAUUCUGUCCCAUCAAAGGGGACAGUUACUCAUUAAUACAGAUGUAAUUACCACCUUUUCUGAAUUAUUUUACUGAAAGCUAUCACAGCACCUGAUCUUGCCAUCUUAGAUGAGUAAGAAUGCUCUGUUGCAGCUAAUUGUGCAAGGAAGGAAAUGAAAACAACAGAGGAGAUAUCACAGGAGCACAACAAAAUUCAGUAUUUUAUAUAUCGCUUUUAAACAUUACUAUUUACACUUUUUCUAGAAAUUUUUGUCCAGCUCUAGAGCUCUUGUCAGAAUUCUAUCAGGAUGCAUGAUAAUGUAUGGCUUUCCACGAGGAAAGCUGAAUCUUAGGCACACCCACGUUUUGAUUUCUUUGGAAUAGCUGAGAUAAACUUUUCCCUUGGUGGAAGUUUCACUCAUCAGCUGAAUUGCAUACAGUCAAGGCUUUGAGGCCGCUUGGCUUCUCAUGCUUAUAGUUUUAUGUAUGCCACCUGUAUGCUCUUCACCUCAAGUGGCUGUCAAGCACAGUGUAAUUACAUUUUAAAAUAAAGAGUUUGGGUUAUUCCUGAAGAGGACCCAGAAAAGAUACAACGACAUCAAGAAAGGUAAACAAAUAAGAAAAGGAACCAUCCUUGACCUUUGGUCAGAUUUUCCCAUUAUUU